rnacentral:rRNA from 1 species
CCCGUAGUUGACGACGUGUGUUCAGUGAAAUCGAGUAGGGCGGGACACGUGAUAUCCUGUCUGAAUAUGGGGGGACCAUCCUCCAAGGCUAAAUACUACUGACUGACCGAUAGUGAACCAGUACCGUGAGGGAAAGGCGAAAAGAACCCCUGUGAGGGGAGUGAAAUAGAACCUGAAACCGUGUACGUACAAGCAGUAGGAGCAGGCUUGUCCUGUGACUGCGUACCUUUUGUAUAAUGGGUCAGCGACUUAUAUUCAGUGGCAAGGUUAACCAUCUAGGGGAGCCGUAGGGAAACCGAGUCUUAACUGGGCGUUCAGUCUCUGGAUAUAGACCCGAAACCAGGUGAUCUAGCCAUGGGCAGGUUGAAGGUUGAGUAACAUCAACUGGAGGACCGAACCGACUAAUGUUGAAAAAUUAGCGGAUGACUUGUGGCUAGGGGUGAAAGGCCAAUCAAACCUGGAGAUAGCUGGUUCUCCCCGAAAGCUAUUUAGGUAGCGCCUCGGACGAAUACUACUGGGGGUAGAGCACUGUUAAGGCUAGGGGGUCAUCCCGACUUACCAACCCUUUGCAAACUCCGAAUACCAGUAAGUACUAUCCGGGAGACACACGGCGGGUGCUA